CCUACGGGAGGCAGCAGUGGGGAAUAUUGGACAAUGGGCGAAAGCCUGAUCCAGCCAUGCCGCGUGUGUGAAGAAGGCCUUCGGGUUGUAAAGCACUUUCAGUGGGGAAGAAAGCCUUGGGGCUAAUACCCUCGAGGAAGGACAUCACCCACAGAAGAAGCACCGGCUAACUCCGUGCCAGCAGCCGCGGUAAUACGGAGGGUGCGAGCGUUAAUCGGAAUUACUGGGCGUAAAGCGCGCGUAGGCGGUCUGAUAAGCCGGUUGUGAAAGCCCCGGGCUCAACCUGGGAACGGCAUCCGGAACUGUCAGGCUAGAGUGCAGGAGAGGAAGGUAGAAUUCCCGGUGUAGCGGUGAAAUGCGUAGAGAUCGGGAGGAAUACCAGUGGCGAAGGCGGCCUUCUGGACUGACACUGACGCUGAGGUGCGAAAGCGUGGGUAGCAAACAGGAUUAGAUACCCUGGUAGUC
rnacentral:rRNA from 1 species